rnacentral:rRNA from 1 species
CGGUAAUUCCAGCUCCAAAAGCGUAUAUUAAAGUUGUUGCAGUUAAAAAGCUCGUAGUUGAACCUUGGGCUUGGCUGGCCGGUCCAUCUUUUUUGAUGCGUACUGGACCCAGCCGAGCCUUUCCUUCUGGCUAGCCUUUUUGGCGAACCAGGACUUUUACUUUGAAAAAAUUAGAGUGUUCAAAGCAGGCCUUUGCUCGAAUAUAUUAGCAUGGAAUAAUAGAAUAGGACGUUAUGGUUCUAUUUUGUUGGUUUCUAGGACCAUCGUAAUGAUUAAUAGGGACGGUCGGGGGUAUCAGUAUUCAGUAGUCAGAGGUGAAAUUCUUGGAUUUACUGAAGACUAACUACUGCGAAAGCAUUUACCAAGGACGUUUUCAUUAAUCAAGAACGAAAGUUAGGGGAUCGAAGAUGAUCAGAUACCGUCGUAGUCUUAACCAUAAACUAUGCCGACUAGGGAUCGGUUGUUGUUCUUUUAUUGACCCACUCGGCACCUUACGAGAAAUCAAAGUCUUUGGGUUCUGGGGGGAGUAUGGUCGCAAGGCUGAAACUUAAAGGAAUUGACGGAAGGGCACCACCAGGAGUGGAGCCUGCGGCUUAAUUUGACUCAACACGGGGAAACUCACCAGGUCCAGACACAAUAAGGAUUGACAGAUUGAGAGCUCUUUCUUGAUUUUGUGGGUGGUGGUGCAUGGCCGUUCUUAGUUGGUGGAGUGAUUUGUCUGCUUAAUUGCGAUAACGAACGAGACCUUGACUCUUAAAUAGGGUGUAUAACAAUUUGUUGUAUGAUUCUUCUUAAGAGGACUAUCAGGAAAAACCUGAUGGAGGUUCGAGGCAAUAACAGGUCUGUGAUGCCCUUAGACGUUCUGGGCCGCACGCGCGCUACACUGAUACAGCCAGCGAGUCUAUACCCUUGUCCGAGAGGACUAGGUAAUCUUGUUAAACUGUAUCGUGCUGGGGAUAGAGCUUUGCAAUUUUUGCUCUUGAACGAGGAAUUCCUAGUAAGCGCAAGUCAUCAGCU